CUGCUGCUGUUGGAUUUGUUGCUGCUGGAGGCUUUGGACCGCCUUCAUCAAAACCUUCAUUUGCUGCAUGAGUGCAGCAAUCUGUGCGUAUGUGGUGACCACAGGACGCGAAGAACUGGACUCUGCCACUGGAGGUGAGGGAGAAACAUCUUUCCGACGAAAAGACUGCCUCACCAAUCCGGUCGAGUGUUGAGCUCUGAUUUUCGACAUGGUUGAUUAUAGUUUUUCCUUACCUGGCACGCUAAUCUGUUGCGAUCAAUCCUCUAUCGCCUGUCGUCUAUCGCCGAUGAUGAGCACCUGCAAAAUAAAGCCCUCAUAGAUCGAAAUUGUGUCCGGCGGGGACCCUCCAAUGCUUAAGUCAGCAAAAAAUUGGUGAACAGUAGAUAAUGAGUAAUCGAAAUGGUAGGGUAUUAGCUUAGAAUUAUCUUACCCAUACUGUUCAUUUACCUCCUUUUUAUACAUAAUUCUAGUAUAACCGUCGAGCACGUAGUCUCGCUUUUUAUGAUGCUAAAUUAUCGAACCAUAAUCCUGAAGUUAAUGGAUUGUUUAUGCCCACUAAUGAUCGUUGAUAUGUGUCGUACCACAUCAAAAUUAAUCCUACUCACUACUAUGUAGAUAGGGUGAGUUGGGAUCGUAUCCGCAGAGAUCUUAGUUGAUUAUUUUGAAAACGCAAAAGAAAAGAAUAAUAGAUCGUAAGAAACUAAAAAAGAAACAUGAAAAUUAUAAUAAAAUUAUUUUUUAUUAAUCAAAUAAAGAAACGUACAUAAAGAAAAAAAUAAAAUUACGAUACAAGACAACUAAACUAAGUUGAUCUUCUUGCUGCAUCCGAUAGUAGAUAUGUCUCCUUGAAUCCUUCAUCUUCCUCUGUACAGACAGUGGCAGGAUGGCUGGAAGGCUUGGUCUAAGAACUUCAAGGAAGAAAGGUUGAUGGAAGCGGGUAUGUAGAAGAGAAAGAGUAGCGGCACUAGGAUUAGGACCUCUCCUAGAUUUGAUAGGAUAUGAAAAAAGAAUCUGUAGAAGAAUAUGGUGUCGUGCUAGGGUUAGUAUCUCCCCUUGACUUAUGG
rnacentral:lncRNA from 1 species